AGCGGCGACGGCGGGGAGACGGCUCGGCGCUGGGGCCAAAAUUCUUGAACGCGAAACUCACGGCGGGAACACAGAGGCGGGGCUGGGACCGGAAGUGGCGAAGAGCGGUGGGAACUGUCCCCGGGCUGACAGAUGAGAAAACCAAAGCUUGGGGAGGUUAAGGAACCUUAACCUUCACGAAGUUGGUUGCCCAACUUCACAGCCAAAACAUCACCCUUGGUAGCAGAAGCUAGCAAAAUGAGGUGCAAGAGGUGUGGAGGUCAUAGCCCUGACCCAUGACAUUUCAACCACUGCAUUAUCCUGACUGGUCCAGCUCAAGCCCAGGAAGGAAGGCUGACUGGGUCUCUGAGAGCUUUUGGGGCCACUGGACCAAUACAAGGCUUCACUAGCUGGAGGGCCUCCCAGGUCCCCCAGACACAACCCUGUGUUGGCUUCUAGUCCACUUUGGUGGAUCUCAAACUCAACUCCAAAGCCCUGCCUCUACUACCCUGCUGUCAGCAAGCAUUUGAAAACCUCAUCUUUCUGCUCCAGUGAACAUUACCAGUACCCUCUCAGCCCCAUCAACCCAUCUUCUGUCCAUUUGUCUUGAGUUCCACCACUCCCCUUCCUAAUCAACACCCAACCUUGGCCUGACAAGACCCAAGCGCAGAUCCUAACCCUGUCCACCUCAUAGGGCAGCUGAGCAGGAUCAAAUGAAUUUAUGCCCAGUGGCACCA